rnacentral:rRNA from 1 species
UACGAAGGGAGCUAGCGUUGUUCGGAAUUACUGGGCGUAAAGGGCGCGUAGGCGGAUUGGCAAGUUGGGUGUGAAAGCCCAGGGCUCAACCCUGGAAUAGCACUCAAAACUGUCUUUCUUGAAUUCGGUAGAGGUUGGUAGAAUUCCCAGUGUAGAGGUGAAAUUCGUAGAGAUUGGGAAGAAUACCCGUGGCGAAGGCGGCCAACUGGACCGACAUUGACGCUGAGGCGCGAAAGCGUGGGGAUCAAACAGG